GCCCCCGCGCACGCGCGCCGGGCCCCUGCGGCCGCCGCAAUCCGGAGUCCACCGAGAGCCUUUCACGAAUAAGCGGAAUAUUGCAGUUGCUCUCUUCCCGGGCGCGGCGGACGACGGUUAGCGGGACGCUGGUCCCGGCGCGCGCGAGGCGCACCUGCGGACGCUAAGGGGCGGGGUCCGGGGGUGGCGAGCGACACAGACCCUUCACCUGCUGGGAGUCGCACUGAAAACACGCGGCACUGCUCACAUUUUGGAACGCUGCCGAGAAGUACAGAGUUCAGUUCUAGUUUGGGGUCAGGCGGAACCUCUGGAGGUCAUCUCAGAAAGCUGCUAGAAAUACCUUGUUUUAAGACGUGUGGAAAUACGAUCGACAAAAGCAUCUACAUUGAAUCGGUUGUAGCGGUUUUGCACAUUCCAGCAAAAUAAACGUUUGGGCGUCGAAGCAAACUGUGAACAUUUCAGUAUAAAGGAUGUGGCCGAAGUGCCAUCCCGUUAAGAGCUUACUUGGGGAAGUUUGGGUGUGCUUACGGAGCAAGAUUACCAAGGUGGCAUUUCUGAACUGCAUUUUAUACUCGUCGGUUGUUUUAUGAAGGACUGACCUUCGGAAUAAAAAGGAUGUUUGGGUAUCACUUUGUCUUAAUCCUUUUGUCCAAUAAAGGAACUUGUCAUUUUUACCAGUAA